rnacentral:lncRNA from 1 species
CAGCCCCAGACCUCUCUACUCCAUUGACAUCACAGCUGCAACAUCUUCUUCUCCGCAAGCUUUUCUUUCUUCUACUGCAAGCUCCACGGUGUGGCAUCGUCGUCUUGGCCACCCCGGCAAUAAUGUCUUGCAAUCUCUUUUAUCUUCUGACUUAAUUCAUUUCUCAAAAACAGAUCAUUAUUUAUGUCAUGCUUGUCAACUUGGGAAACACAUCAAACUUCCUUUUGAUUCAGUUAUAUUAGAUGUUUUUGAACCUUUUCAAAUUAUUCAUUCAGAUGUUUGGACCUCUCCGGUUCCCAGCAUCGGUGGCAAAAAAUACUAUGUCAUCUUUCUUGAUCAUUGUAGCCAUUACAUUUGGGUUUAUCCACUGAAAAAGAAAUCAGAAGUUUUCUCAGCUUUCAUUCAUCUCUCAGCUUAUAUUCAAAACCAAUUUGGCUGCAAAAUCAAAUCACUUCAAUGUGACAAUGGUGGUGAGUAUAACAAUAGCCAAUUUCUAAACUUCUUCUCCUUAAAUGGAAUUACUCACCGCUUUUCUUGUCCCCACACCUCUCAACAAAAUGGCAAGUUUGAGCGCACUCUACACACAUUAAUCAAUUUUGUACGGUCUCUUCUCUUUCAAGCCAACUUGCCUCCGGGUUAUUGGGUAGAAGCUCUUAACAUGGCUGCUCAUCUAUUCAGUCUUCUUCCAUCUACAGUCAUCAAAAAUGAAAUACCUUUCACCAAGCUCUUUCAUAAACCCAUUUCCUAUAACCACCUUCGAGUCUUUGGCUGUCUAUGCUAUCCAAAUCCCACAUCGACAGCAAAACACAAGUUCUCUCCUCGUUCAACAGCUUGUGUCUUUCUCGGUUUCUCUACUUCUCAUAAGGGAUAUCAAUGUCUAGACUUAAUUACUCGGAAGGUAAUCCUAUCUCGUCAUGUCAUUUUUGACGAAAACAUUUUUCCUUUCUCCACAAAUAAACCAUCCUCUUUCGAAACAGAAUCUCAUGAUAUCUCACCUCCACUUUCUUCUCCUCUGCUCCGUGAGAUAAUCACAACUUCCCCUCCUCCGAUCCCAAACACAACUCAACCACCACCUCCAAACAACCCUCCUGCUGUUCCACCUUCAACUCAUCCUAUGGUGACUCGCAGUAAACGAGGAAUUUCCAAACCUCGUCAACCUCUCUCUCUUACAGCUCAAGCAAUCUCACCCUUACCUACUUCUUAUCUUCAAGCUCUUGAGGACCCUCACUGGCGAGAUUCUAUGCAUGAAGAGUAUGAUGCUCAGAUUAAAAAGGGAACAUGGUCACUGGUUCUGCUCAGAUUAAAAAGGGAACAUGGUCACUGGUUCCCAGACCAAACAAUGUUAAUGUUGUGCGUUUAAUGUGGAUUCACAGGUACAAGUAUGACUCGGAAGGCAAUCUAGUUCGUCACAAAUCACGUAUGGUGGCUAACGGCUGAUCACAACAACCCGGCAUCGAUUGCGACGAGACUUUCAGUCCUGUGGUUAAGCCAGUAACCAUAAGACUUGUACUCGACAUUGCUAUAUCCAAGAACAGGCCGCUCCACCAACUAGACGUCAAGAAUGCCUUCAUCAACAGUGAUCUUCAAGAAACCGUCUACAUGCAUCAGCCGUUAGGUUUCAAAGACGAAACCAAACCAGAUCAUGUCUGCUUGUUACACAAGGCGCUCUACGGCCUUAAACAAGCCCCGCGCGCAUGGUAUCAGCGUUUUGCUACUUUCGCUACACGAGUGGGCUUCAAACAGAGUAACUGCGACUCCUCUCUCUUCGUUCACCACAACCGCUCCGACAUCGCAUAUCUCUUACUCUAUGUCGACGAUAUUCUCCUCACUGCUUCCUCUUCAGCUCUUCGCGACUCCAUCAUUGCAUCUCUCAACGUAGAAUUCACCAUGACUGAUCUCAGACAGCUUCAUUAUUUUCUUGGCAUCACGAUCAAAUACAACAAAGCGAAUCUAUUUCUACAACAAAAGACAUAUGCCAUGGAGAUUCUACAGAGAGCAAACAUGUCGGAAUGCAACUCUUGCACCACUCCAGCGGAUGCUCGAGGUAAACUCUCCGACGAAGGAAGCCCGCCGAUGUCAGAUCCCACGCUCUAUCGAAGUCUCGCCGGUGCCCUCCAAUACCUUACUUUCACUAGAUCGGAUAUCGCCUUCGCUGUUCAACAUGUGAGCCUCUUUAUGCAUGCACCUUUGGAUUCUCAUUACAAUGCUUUAAAGCGCAUAUUGCGCUACAUCAAAGGGACACUGGACCACGGUCUGCAGCUCACGCCCAACACUUCUCACACGCUCACCGCCUACUCAGACGCUGAUUGGCCAGGAUGCCCAAACACGAGACAGUCAACCUCAGGCUACUGCAUCUUCCAUGGAGACAACCUCAUCUCCUGGUCUUCUAAACGCCAGCAAACCGUCUCACGUUCAAGCGCAGAGGCAGAAUACCGUGGUGUUGCCAAUGACGUCUCUGAAGUUACGUGGAUCAGAAACUUGAUGCUCGAGCUAUACUGUCCAUUGCGAACCGCAACAAUAGUCUACUGCGACAAUGUUAGUGCCGUCUAUCUCUCAACCAAUCCAGUUCAACAUCAACGUAUGAAGCACGUCGAAAUAGACACUCACUUUGUUCGCAAACGCAUCGCCAUUGGUCACGUUCGAGUGAUACACGUACCUUCAAGCCAAUAUGCGGAUAUUUUCACCAAAGGUCUACACUCACCUCUCUUCUUGGACUUCAAAUCCAGUCUUCGCGUCUCCAAAGACCCGACUUCGACUGCGGGGGAGUGAUAGAUUAGGAAAUAUAUAACAUUCCAUAUAUUGAACAAAUAUCCUAAUGACUCCAGUGUGUAUAUACUUUACAUAAUCUAAUAUAUGAAAGCAAGGGUUUUACCAAGUUACGGUAUCAAUGUAUCAUCAUCAACAACAGGAAUGAGUGUAUCUAUUGUCUUAUAAAAUCACUCAUAUUCUAGGCUUUGCAGUGAGUUAUAUCCAAACUUUUUGUGGCUAAGGUUUGUGACUGAAUAUAGGACACGGAUUAGUGGUGGAUUUGUAAAAAAAGAUAGACAGAGAGACCGACACUCUGUGUUACUCUUCGACACUGGCACCUGAAACUUAUCGUAAAAGUAAUUUAUUACGACCUUUUGCCAUCCGCAAGGCCCACGAGUUUCUUGGCCGGAUCCGGGUAAAAUCCAAAUGGAUCUCGAGAUUUGGUCUUUAGGUUUCGAAAUUGUCUUCUAGUCCUUAAAUUCUAGGUUUUAUUAUGUCCAUAAAUGACCCUCAUCUCUUAAAGUGAAUGACUACUUUGCCCUUGACUUCUUCUCUACUUUUUCUUUUUCCUUUCCCCCACUUUAGUCUCAUUUUAUUUGUUGUUUAGUCUUAUAAUUAGAUCUCUAUUUCCUCGCGACAGCACCAUUAAAAUCCUCUGAUCGGAUCGAGCCGAAUCGAGGAUUUAGAGUUCGAAAAAAAUGGCGCAGCAAUCGCUGAUCUACAGCUUCGUCGCUCGAGGCACGGUGAUCCUCGUCGAGUUCACAGAUUUCAAAGGCAACUUCACCUCCGUCGCUGCACAGUGCCUCCAGAAGCUCCCCUCUUCCAACAACAAGUUCACUUACAACUGCGACGGCCACACCUUCAACUACCUCGUCGAAGAUGGAUUCAGUGAGUCAUCACGCAGAUUUUGAUCUAUAGCUUCUUACGUUUUACACCACUCGCUGCUUGCCUCAGAUUGUAAUCGUCUAGUGUUGAUUUGUAACAAACUUUUUAGGGUUUAGAUCUGAUUGUAACUGAAUCAGAUUCAUAUUUAAAUCAGUGCCACGUGUGUGAGAUUGAUUUGGUUUCUUGUUUGCGUUGUUAGCGUAUUGUGUUGUUGCGGUUGAGUCUGCUGGGAGGCAGAUUCCGAUGGCGUUCUUGGAGAGAGUGAAGGAGGAUUUUAACAAGAGAUAUGGUGGUGGGAAGGCUGCCACUGCGCAAGCAAACAGCUUGAAUAAAGAGUUUGGGUACUUUUUUUUGCUAAUGUUGUUUGAUUCUCUGUUUCGUUAGUCUUUGGAUUGACUCUGUUUUGGUUGCUUUUGAAAGGUCUAAGCUGAAAGAGCACAUGCAGUAUUGUAUGGAUCAUCCUGAUGAGAUUAGCAAGCUUGCUAAGGUGAAGGCGCAGGUGUCUGAGGUUAAGGGUGUUAUGAUGGAGAACAUCGAGAAGGUUUUAGUCUGAACUCUUUCUUUGUGUUGAUAUAACACACGUUUUUCUGUUAAAUGAUUUAUGGAACUUAAAUUCAUUUGUUGUAGGUUCUUGACCGUGGUGAGAAAAUUGAGCUUCUGGUGGACAAAACCGAGAACCUUCGCUCACAGGUUAGACUCUCCUGCAGACACGAAGCUGGUUCACCAUGUUGACUUAUCUCUUGUUUGAUUAAACUCGGAUCUGGUGCAGGCACAAGAUUUCAGAACAACGGGGACGCAGAUGAGAAGAAAGAUGUGGCUUCAAAACAUGAAGAUAAAACUCAUAGUUCUCGCCAUCAUUGUCGCGUUGAUUCUCAUUAUCGUGCUCUCUGUUUGCCAUGGCUUCAAGUGUUAAAACUCUCUGGGGGGGUACAUGGUACUGCCUUUUCUUUUAUUGUUCUAUCGUCAUUAUCAUUCUAAAUGUUUUCCGCUUGAAUUGGUUUUUGUAUAGAUAGACAUAUAUGUAUGCUUCACAUUUGCUAUAUUGCUUGCACCUGGUAACGUUAAUCCCUCGCGAAAUAGUAUUUGCCAAGAGAUCGAAAACUAUUAGCUGAUUUUGUGGACUAAUGACUGCUUAUGAUGAUGAUAUUAAUUUGAUAAUGAUGAUGAUAUUGGCAUAGCUCAUGAAAUGUCUAAGGUAUAUGAUAUAAUUAAUAGAUUCAAAUCGAAUACAUUUUCUCUGCACCGUCCGGUUCCGACCACCUCCGAGGAGCAACCGUAUAGGCUUUAGUGAAACCCAUAGACAAGACACGAAAGCCCCUCUUGUAUACAUAAGCUCUUGUCUUGAACAAAGGUUACGAACUAUAGUCGACACGAGAUACAAAUCCAACAAUAUCAACUUGAUAAUCACGAUGUUACAAAUUCGAAGUAGUCAAUAUUGUAUCCGGCAAAGCUCGUCACUCUCUUUGGGCUAUAUUUGAUAAAUGGGCUUAACUUAAUGGGCCUUAAAACCUACUUCUACGGCUUUCCCGCCAAAAACUCCUCAUUUCCGCUUAAGCUCACCACCAGAUUCCGAUUUGCCACUUCUGUUCUCCGCCGCACACCAAUCCCUAGAUUAGGAAAUGGAAUUCGAUAUCCCAUUGCCGGAGGAGCUAGAGCUUCUCGAAGCCAACUCUUACUAUCCCGAAGAAGAAGAUGAUGACUACCUAAACUUCGAGGAGGCGCCGUAUCCUUACCCAAUCGACGGCGAUGAAGAAAAAGAAGAAGAAGAAGAGGAGGAGAUCGCGCAGAAGGAGUCUAAUCUCCAACAAUCGGAAUCUCCUGAUAUCAACGGCUGUAAACGACCCAGGAGUCUAGUGUCCGAUCCGAUUGUCAAUCUCGACGAAGCUUCUGAGAAGAGAAGCAAAGUUAAUGAUAAUCGAGUAGAGAUGGAAGACGAGGAAUGGCUGCGAUUCUCUCCGGUUAAGGAAGCGGUACAAAUCAUGGAGGAGGAAGAAGAAGUCAUUUCCCAGGAGACUGUCUUGUCCAGGUUACUACUACUGUGCACGAGACUUACCGAGUUGAGAAUUUUUUAUUUCUUUUUUUAGUAAUUUCGUUGUUGGGAUUUUCAGAUACGCUUCUGAGAUAGACGGGGAAUGCUUUCCGAUUACGGCACCGGACGGAGGAGACAGGGUUUAUGCGAAAUUCUCUCGAGCUUUGGGAGAUGAAGAGGUGAAGAGAUUCCAUCUAAAAGCCAAAUCUAACGGUACCAAGUUUUCAAUUAAGACAUUUUUCCAUAGUGUAUCUUAAAUGAAUUAGUUUUGUGUAUUAUUGGUUUAGUAGAGAUUUGACUAAAGCGCAAGGACAUAGGUCGUAUGAUCAGUUUAGCUUUAGAAUAUGUUAUUCACUGGUCUUAGGCUCAUAGCUGUGUAUGUAGGAACUUUACUCUGGACAAGGUUCGGGACUCCAUUUCGAUUUCUUUAUGGAGGCAUACAAUCUUCUGGCAAGAACUAUCUUCCUCAGAAGUUUAGAGUUUUAAUCUUUAGCAGGUCUUAUCAAAGAUCCUAUCAGUGUUCUUCUACAACAAUCAGAAAAUGAGUCAUUUAACAAGGUAAAAUUUCUUAUUAUUUUUUUCAGUUUCAGGCUGUUUUCUAUCUUGUCUGGUCCGUUCUCAAAAAGUUAUUGGUUUUAUCAUUGUAAAGCGCUCAUUAAUAAUUGUCUGUAUGUGAGCCAUAGCUAGCAUGUGCAUAGUAUUUAGCAGUUGUGGAUGAUAAUUGUGUCCCCUCAUGACCAGUAUAUGUUUUCUUUUGACAUUGAAGGCCUUGCAAACUAGUUCCGAGGAUCAGAAUGAAGCCAUGACUGCAGAAACUUCUGUAAUGCAUGAAAAGCGCUGGGUGGACAAAUAUUCUCCGAGCUCAUUUACUGAGCUUCUCAGUGAUGAGCAGACCAACCUGGAGGUAUUUUGCAUGUUUUGGUAAAGUUUUGUGUAAAUUAGAUGAAUCAGGAAUCAGUAGUUGAUGUUCUAAAUGUUAUGUGCAGGUUCUUCUAUGGCUUAAGCAGUGGGAUGCUUCUGUUUUUGGAUCUGAAAUUAGGAGCACGACGGAUGAAGUACUGUCAGCUUUGAAACGACAUUCUACACCAAGUCAUCGUCAAAAAUCAGAUUCAGCUUUCACGAGGAAAAAAACAUUUCAGUAGAUGGAGUAAGGAAAGUUCUACAUAUCCUAAAGAUUCAGACGUGAGCAAUAGCAACACUACAGAUAAUCAUGACAUGAGGAACAAAAAGUCAAAACUUAUUGGUCCUCCAGAGCAGAAGGUGUGAUAAUCUGAUUUAGACUUCAAACUUUUUUCACUAAUAGGAUGUUUCUCAUUGUAUUAUACUACACUAUGAAUCGGCCUUAAAUAUUUCAUCUGCUGUUGCAGAUCCUUCUGCUUUGUGGGCCCCCAGGGCUUGGAAAGACUACACUUGCUCAUGUUGCAGCUAAGCAUUGUGGAUAUCGCGUUGUUGAGGUAUCCCCUAUAUACUAAAGCACAAGUCACUCUACCAAUAAAAUUUUGACACAUGGAAUAUGUUUAAAAAUUAAAGAAAAAAUACAAAUGCAUAAAAAAACUUAAGGGCAUAACGUUUAGUAACCGAUUUGUUAAAAAAAAAUUUACUAACUGAUUCCUACUUAUUUUAUAUAUAAAAUAAAAAUAAAAAUUAAAAAAUUCUUUAUAUUUCUCUCUCUCACAACUUCGUUGAUCACACGAUUUUUAAACUGUUACUCAGUUAUUGUAGAAGAGGUUUGACUCGCUAUUGUUGUAAAUCAUCUCUACCAGCAUUAAUGUACGUUUCUAAAUUUUUGGCACAUGACACUAAACACUUUUAAAAAAUAAUUCAUAUUUACUUUCUAGAUCAAACCAAACAUCAAGUAGGUUUUCCUUUUUACAAAAUAUGUUUUAUGCAGCAAAAAAAUAUGUGAUAAUCUUAUAGAAAUAUUAUACAUGUUUACUUUCAGAUCAAUAUACACUUUUUAUUUUUCUUAUAUAAUGUUAUUAAAUUUUGUAUAUUUUUUCUUAAGCAAAAACUUUGAAAUAAAUAUACUAAUGAAGACAAGAGUAAUAAAAAACCAAAAAUAUACAUAAAAAGAACGAAAAGAUUACAAGAAAUACCGACUUCAAUUAGCUACAAAAUAUGUUAAUAUUUUAUUUGCAAUUUAUGGAAGAGAUAUGUUUUUCUGAGUUUUCAUAUCCAAUAAUUUUAAUUUUUGAAUGUUGAAUAUAUCUUGAUUCCAUAUCGAACGUCCCGGUGCGAAGCACGUGAGAUCACUAGUUCUUGUAUAUCCCACAAGCCAAAUUCAUAAAUUUGCUAGUUAAGUUCUUGACUGUUAGGAUAAGCGGGGGCAUAUCACUGUUUAAUCUCUGAUGGUUUUGCAUGGAGGACAUUGAUUCAUGUUCAUUAACUGUGCUGCAGCAAUUUCUUGGAUGUGUAUGUUUCUCAUUUCUUGUGUACAAGGUUUGAUUCAAACUUUUAUUUUUGCAGAUCAAUGCUAGUGACGAGCGAUCAGCAGCAGCCAUUGAAACUAGAAUUCUUGAUGUAGUUCAGAUGAACUCAGUUACGGCUGAUUCUAGGCCUAAGUGUUUGGUAUGUGGCUUACUCUAUGUUCGCUGGGGACAUUUUUCAUUAUGUCAAAUUUGAUUACUCAAAGUUUCUUAAAGUAGAAGAGACUGACGAUAAUUUAUGUAGGUGAUUGACGAGAUAGAUGGAGCUCUUGGUAAUGGAAAAGGAGCAGUAGAUGUUAUUCUAAAGAUGGUAUGUAUCUGUAUGCUUGUACUGGGCUGGUCAUUUGGGUCUCUAAAAUUUAGGUUAAGUCUGGCAAAUACUGAACUAUUAACUCUUUGCUCAUUUUACCUUAGACGAAAGAUUUAGCUAAUUUACUUGCUAGUGCUACACCUCUAGUUCUCUGAAUAUUUAUUGCAUUUUUAUUUUCGUUUUACAUUUGCUUGAAGUCUUAAAGAACAAUUUAGGAAACUAUGUGAUAACAUUCUUAGUUUUUAAUUGUAUCUUCGGUGCAUAGGUGUUGGAGGAAAGGAAGAAUGCUACAGGCAAGGAAAAUAUAGAUAAUGGGAAGACUUCCUCAAAGAAGGAGCGGCGAACAGCACCACUAUCAAGACCUGUCAUUUGUAUAUGUAAUGACUUAUAUGCACCAGUUUUUAGACCUCUGCGACAAAUAGCGAAGUAAGUUUGACUUCCUAUGCACUUUGAUCGUCCCCUUUUCCUGUUACAUUUUUUUACGUAGAGCAUACUGCUUUCAAAAUGUGCAAUUGUCUUUCAUACGUAUUGAGUAUAUCUGCCAUCAAAUGCUCAAUUCUUGAUAAACGUUCGCCUCUUAGUAUGAUGAUAAGCUCAUGUGCUUCUCUUGCAGGGUUCAUAUAUUUGUUCAACCAACAGUGAGUCGUGUGGUUAAUAGGUAACCAUAUUCUUACUUUGUUGUGCGAGAGAAGAAUUCUUUUUUGGGUUGAAAGUCUGUAAACUAAAAUGUGAUUGAAUUUGUAAAAAUAGUACCUUAAUGAUUUGUACGUUACAUUAGAAUCAGUGAACUAUACUCAAAUUAAUUUCAGUAAUUUUCUACCCGUCUUUAUUUAUCUAGCAACUGCUUUACGAGGCUGAAAUGUGCAAAUGGCAGGCUCAAGUAUAUUUGUAAUAUGGAGGGGAUGAAAACAAGAUCAUUCGGUCUUAGUGCACUUGCUGAUUACACUGGUAACUUUCUCCCUUUCCAUAUAUGCUCAUUGUGUUCACUUUAAUUUGCUUCUCAGUCUGAUAUAUUGUCCACGAGUUUGAUCUUAUAUUAUCGUUAGUUAUUUAGAGGAGCCUUCCUAAAAGAUUCUGCUAUUUUUCCCUUUUUCUCUGGCGGUUACAGAAUGCGACAUACGCUCUUGCUUGAACACACUGCAGUUUCUCAACAAGAAGAAUGAAACCCUCAACGUGGUAAGUCAUGAGCUUCUUGCUGGCUAAGUGUUUAUCCACUCUCAGUUUGAUUUAGCAAAACUCCAAAAUCUAAAUAUACUUGACUAUACACGUGAGGAUAAACAACUAUUUUGCGCCUUGCCAACUGAAAAAUGUCUUUGCGGGACCUAUGAGUGCUAGCUUUCUGUUUGAUUCUCCAUUCUUGGACAUUGAUUUUUCUAAUAUGCUAACAAUUGCUUCUUUCUUUUCUUUUAGAUCGACAUUGGUUCUCAAGUUGUUGGGCGGAAAGACAUGUCAAAGAGUCUGUUUGAUAUCUGGAAAGAGGUAAUGAAAGCACAAUUACGCGUCGUGGAUUGCUUUACUUACAGAUCCACUUCAUAUUAUAUUCAAGCGUGCUUCUUCUUUUUAGAUAUUCAACAAGAGAAAAAUGAAACGAGAGCGAUCUAACGACGCAUCUGGCAGUGAUGCCAAAAAAUUUGAUUUCUUACACUCCCUCGUAUCCACACGGUACGUAGAAUGUAAUGAUUUUCUCGCAUCCUUUACUCCUUUAUGUUUAAGUAUUCAACUGAAUGUGCAGGGGUGAUUAUGAUUUGAUUUUCGAUGGAAUACAUGAAAACAUCUUGCAGCUUCAGUACCAUGAUCCGGCGAUGGACAAAACAGUACGGCUAAUUAAUGAUUUUCAUUGAACUCUCACUGUUUGUUCUGAAGUAUUGUUAUGUGUAAUCCUUUUGACAAAAGGUUAGCUGCUUGGACUGUCUUGGAACUUCUGAUUUGCUGCAUCGAUAUAUUAUGCGCACCCAGCAAAUGUCUCUCUACGGUAAAAGCCUUUAAAGCUCAGAUGAUUAUUACGUACUGUGAAUAACACUGCUCGUUUUUCACCUUGUGAUGCAGUUUAUGUUCCUAGCCUGGUGAUACCUAUACACGGUCGAGUGGCCCAUAUUCAAAGACCAGCUAUUCAGUGGCCUAAGUCAUACCACAGGUGAUUUUGGUGUCAUCUUUAUAUUAAUUAAGAAAAGCAUUUCAAGCGUCUCUGCUUACAAGUACUUCUCGAUAUGAAAUCUACCAGAUGUCGAACGCUUUUGGUGGAAAAACAGUAGUCCCUGCGGUCUUGGCACCACAAGAUACCUCCCUAUAUUGGGAGGCAUUUGUCGAUCAAGUCUUUCGUUGAAGACUCUGUUUCCCCGCUAUUGCAUAUUCUUUCUCCCCCAACUCAUAGACCAGUAUGUCUUCAUUUGCUUACUCCAAGAUCUCUUUUCAUAUUAGCCUAAUGCUCUUCUAAGGAUAACAUCUUGCUGCGCUCCGCAGGUGGCAUCACAUUUGCUAUCAGAGAGGGAAAAGGAUCAGCUGGCGAGUUUGGUCAUGCUUAUGCAUUCUUAUUCUUUAACUUAUAAGACUGUGAAACUUGAUCCUGCUCUGAGUAACCCCAGGGAGAGCGCUGCGUCAGAUGCUUCAGUCCUUGCUUUAGAUCCACAUCUAUUUGAUUUCAUAAGUUUCAAGGUUUUGCUUCUGCUUACUUUGUCUUAGCAUCUAACCACUACAUUUUUGGCUUUGGGGAUAACACUAAUCGUCUUUCCAACACUUGAGAGGGUCGCCAAAUUAAACAUCACGUACUCACCUUAGCAAUGAAACAAGUGUUAGUACAUGAAGUAAGUCUCGAAUCUUCUUCGCUAUAAUUCGUUAUAAAUUGUUGUGCCUUUUAAGCUGCAUGAAGAUCUUGAUUGUCUGGUUUUCACAUAAAUGUUAAAAACUCAGGUUGAGAAGCAGAAGAUACUACUGCAAGCAAGUGAAGGAAGGUCCGGGAUCUUGAGCAAACCCGAGAUUAAGAAAACAAAUCCAGACUUAGUCAGGAAAACUAUAGCUGCGUCAAAUGAGAGUCACAGACAUCCAGUUACCUCGAAACCUCCAUCAGUCUCAGUUGCAAAUGCCACCACUUCAAAACCCAAAUCUAGUGAUGUGAAGAAAGCAUCUCGCAACGCCGUUAAUUUCUUCGACAGGUACUUACUUGGGAGGAUAAUUUUUCUCAGCUUGGAACUUGUUUGUACUUCAUGAUUUAGUGUCAUGAUGAUCAUAUAUACUAAUUGCAAUGGUUUGUGUUUGUAAAAAGAGGUUUAGGAAGUCGAGGAAAGAUUAUGAAGAUCCAGAGGAUGUACAAAAGAGAGCAACUGCAAAAAGAAAUUCACGCCCUCUUCUCUUCAAGUUCAACGAGGUAAUGUCCUAAGUCUAACCCCAAAUCAAAUAACCUCGUGGAACCUGGACUCUAGGCCUAAAUCAAAAUAUUCAUGAUUGUACUGAAGUGUGUAUAUUGCACUUGCAGGGUUUCACGAAUGCUGUGAAGAGACCGGUUAGAAUGCGGGAGUUUCUACUGUGAUCUUCUAUUGGGGGAAAGUCUUAAAAAGUUGGUGCAAAAUUAAAGUUUUUACUUACUCUUCCGUCCAAAGGGAUUAAGUUUUGUGUAUAAACUGUAGCUUUUCAAUAUUUCUAAUAUUUUUACAAUUUUUCUUGUUAAUUAAAUAAUUGUUACUAUGUCAUGUUUAUAGGUAAUUAUUUAAGGAAAAAAAAUACUAUUAAAUAACAAUUGUCCUUUUAAAUUUAAAAUGUUAGUAAGAAGAGGCAAGAGGGUGUCCGAUUCCUAAUGCGUGAAGCGAAAAAAAUAAGUUAAAAAGGGUAUUUAUUUAUUGGUACAAAGGCCCAAACGUAAAGCCUAAUUUAAGAGAGAGCAUCUUCGUAUACCUUUUGCGUCUGCGACUUUAGUAGUCUACAGAUUCAAAUUCGAGGUUUUAAAAUUAAAAAUCAGAGAUGAUGAAGCAUGUCAUCGUGGCUGGUGUUUUCGCGAUGAUGAUCCCCUUCGCCUUCCCCGAUGCGCUAGCUCCAGCUCUCUUCUGCGUCUUCGUCGCCUUCUGCUCGCUGUUGUGCCUUGCGAUAGCAUCGAAGAAGAAAAAAACCGCCGAUCCCAGGGUUGCGCGACUUAUUGAGAACAUGGAUAAUCUCCAAGCAAUCGCUCUCAUGGCGGUUAUGCUCAAACCAGACGCCGCUGAGACGGAAGAGCUCUACGAGGCGGCGGCUGUGACAGAAGAGAUCUUGCCAAGCUCUGUGAUCUCGUGAAAGAGUUUGGGGAUGAUCAGAGCCAAGGAAGGAAGGAAGGAAGAGACCGUAGACCGUAUCGUAUAAUAUUAAUAAGUGUUUUUAGAGUUUGGGGAUGAUCGUGUUGCUGUUCUUCUAUCUCUUUCGUUGUUGGCUGCAAAAUCUAUAAUUACAUUUAACAAAAUCUCCUUUUAUUGUAUCUCUUCUUUAAUCUAAAUUAGGCUUUCAAAUCCAAGGAUCCUAAUCUCAUCUUUAUGGGUUGCUUUGUCAUAUUGGCUCUAACAGCAAGCAAGCAAAGCACAACUUGUUUCAUAUAUUUUGACUCUUGAUUUCUUCUGCUUACAGUUUGACAAAUAUUGUUCUGAGUUUCUUCUACCCAAGGACAUCAUCUUCUUGUUGUUAAUAUGUUCUGAUUGUUGACGCUGCCCAAGGAUGUUUGCUUCUUUAUAAGCUUAUUUGCACUUCUCUACUUGGUAUUAAAGGGCUUGCAAACUAUUUCUUCAAUCUUGCUCUGAGCCAGCCAAUUACAUUUUGGAUUAUCCGCAUAAAUAGUAACCUUUUUUUUAUCGAACAACAUCUUCCAUAUUCUUCAUAAAAUUCAAUUUAUUUUACAUGUUAAAAAGCACGAUUAUUUGUAAUAAUGUUUAUUUGUAGCAGCUAGUGACUUGUGUCGUUUGUAAAAAGUCUCUAGCGUUGUUCCUUGGUCAAAAAGACCUAUAGUUAUUCCACUUUCCUGACGUUGCUGAGCUCAUCCACACCGUCUCCUCUCUCAAACACCCCGGCUGCUCCCAUUCCCGACCCUGCACGGUUUCCCAAAACCAUACCUCAGUGAGAGUGAGAGAUUGAUAUUAGAUAUUAGCUAGUGAGAAAUGAACAUACCUAUGCACAUUGUCACUACUCCAAAACGGCAGUCUUUACCACGACGUUUCAUCUCGUGCAGCAGCGUUGCAACGCAUCUGGCCCCUGAGAAAGUGCAACAGAGUCUUGUUUGUUCUAUGGAACUCACUAACCAUAUGGGGGAACCUGGAUGAAGCAUAUACCUGUAGCGCCUAAGGGAUGUCCAAUGGCUAUAGCCCCUCCAUUGACAUUGAUCUUCUCCGGGUCUAGCCCCAGCUUGUUCCGACAAUAAACAAACUGAGAUGCAAAUGCCUAAACAAACACCGUAGUUUUUUAGACACAGGACAUAAGGGGUGGAUAUAGAAAGAAGAGUUGUUCUAUGCUUUUUAACCUCAUUGAUCUCAAACAAGUCGAUGUCAUCGAGUUCCAAACCAGCUGCCUUGACGGGAGCAGGAAUAGCAGCAGCUGGCCCAACGCCCAUAACCGCUGGAUCCACACCAACUGCAGCAAAUGUCCUGCAAUGUGUCAAAGAGUGCUUUAGUUUUUACUCAAAUGAAGGUUAAUAUAAAAAAAUAUCAAACGUACCUGAAUACACCAAGAAUGGGAAGCCCUUUCUGCAUUGCGACACUCCUCUUCAUGAGGAGAACUGCUCCUGCACCAUCACUUACUUGGCUAGAGUUUCCUGUUCAAACACAAGUGAAGCACUGAGUUCACAGUUACAAACAAAACAAACAAAAAUCUCAGCGGUGUGAAUAUAGUACCAGCAGUUGUGGAUCCGUCUUGCUUAAACACAGGCUUAAGCUUUGCAAGGCCGGAAAGGGUUGUGCUAGGUCGAAUCCCAUCGUCCACAGAAACUGUUAUGGGCUUCUCAUCACAUGUCUUUGGGUCAACAAUCUGAAACGUUAAAAACCAAAAGUCAUUAACAUGGGGAAAGAGCACUUGACUCAUCAGAUGAAGUCAUCAGGUUGUAAAACAGAAUCUACCCUGGUGUUUACUGGAGUUAUUUCAUCCUUGAAUUUACCGGAAGCAGUAGCAGAAGCGGCCUUUCUGUGAGAAUCAACCUACACAUGUAGCUCCAUAAACUAAUGCUGGCAGGUAACAUCCAAGUACAUGCAUUAGAAGUAGUUAGAAAGUUUUAUUAGAGUUACAGCAGCUUGAUCCUGCUCCUCCCUUGAGACACCAAACCGGUGCGCUACAUUCUCUGAAGUAAUACCCAUUGGAAGAAGGCAACUUUGUGCUUGUUCAAACUUCUUCACCUGCAACAACAGAAUAGGUAGGGCUUAAAAUUUUAAAACAUUCAAAGGAGGGAGAGAGAGAGACAAGAGGUACCUUUGGGUUGACUGAUCCUUUCCAUCCCCUUGGACUAGUUGUCAUGGACUCAAGCCCAGCUCCAAUACCUGUAAUCCAAACCUAUUGUCAGCUCAAUUCUUCACGCCAACCAAAGGACAGUGACUCCCUUACCAAUGUCAUAGAACCCUGCUUUGAUGGCGGCAGCAACGUCAGCAACAGCCUGAAGCCCGGAUGAACACUGUCUGUUCACAGUUCUAAUAGGAACAGUUUCUUUCCAACAAAAACAUAAAAUCAUAAGCAUAAGAUUCUGUACUACAGAUCCCCUAAAUAAACAAGAAAUCUCUCACCGGGGAAGCCAGCAUAGAAAGCAGCCAUCCUGAACUCAGUGGCUUUCUGAGAUCCUGAUCCCAAAACAGUACCAACUACAAUGUCACCAACUUCACUUGGGUUCAACUUCGUCUUCUCUAUCACCGCCUGCCAACAAAAAGCCACGACUUUGGAAAAGAGUGGGGAGAAGCAAAACAGAAUUGAAGAAAGACUUAGACAUACUCUCAGCACAGGUGCAAGUAGCUCGUCUGGAUAUGUAUCCUUGAAGCUUCCACGUUUUGCCUUGCAAAGUGCUGUCCUUUGUGCCCUGUUGAGUGUUUCAUCAAUCACAAAUAAUCUUUUAGAAAAUAAUUGAUUUUUUUUUUUUCAAAAGAAGACCAAAGAAAAAAAGAGAAAGAGAGAAACUUAACGCGACGAUGACAACAUCAUCUCCAUACAGAGAGGUCCUCUGAUACGCAGCACUGUCUCCCGCUAAGCAAGCUGAGACCUUUCGACAAGGCAACAACAACACAUAAACAUAAAAGAUUAACACUUUGAAACAGAAUUGAACAGAAAAAUCAUGAAAAAUUAGCGAUCGGAGGAGCUUACAGAGAGAGAAGAAGCCUGGGAAGAAGACGGAGGAGGAGGUCGCAGAUGGUGAAGCAGUACUCUUUGUCUCUCGAUCGCCUUCUCCAUUUUCGCUCAGUUCUGUUACAGAGAAAACUCUAAAUCUUAAUCAAAACCGUUAUAAUCAAUCAAACAACUGUUUAAUAUCUCCGGUUAAAAUAUUUGGUUUAUUCCGGUUCAGUAUUUAGCUGGUUCUCGCGCCGAAACGACGUCGUCUUUUUCCUUUAGGGUUUUAGAUAUUUUCUUACAUAUUUAGCUUCUCUCCUUGCAGAAAAACACUUUCGUCCGUCAUUUUUUCUCGACGGCUCGGUUCUCUUUCUCCACCUCUCACCUCGCCGCUUCGUUUCUCGACGUAAGUCUCUCAAUUCUUUAGUCUCCUUUGGCUUGUGGAAUUGACUCUCUCUGCUCUAUGUAUUCCCCAUUCGGUUCUACUUACCCUGUUUUGUUGUUUCUUAUGCGUUUUGGUUUCAAUUAGUAUCUCCCUAGCUAAUCAGUUCUUUACUUAAUCAAAGCUUUUAACUUUUAUGCUUUAUGAUGAAGCUUGUGACUUGUUAUGUCUAUACAGUUUAUUACAAAACUAUAUUACUGUUCUUGGUUCAGUUUUAUUACAAAACUAUAUUGACUUGUUUGAUGUCUUUUAUUACAAGACUAUAAUGAUUUGUUGGCUGUUCUUUCUUCAGUUUUAUUACAAAACUGUAAUGAUUUGUUUGCUGUUCUCGGUUCAGUUUCAUUACAAAACCAUAUUGACUUGUUUGUUGUUUUGGUUCAGUUUUAUUACAAGACCAUAAUGAUUUGUUUGCUGUUCUUUUUUUUUUUUUUUUUUUAAUUUGAUGUUUUUUUAAUUCAUAUGUGCAGAUCAAUUAGCAAAAAAAUGGUGCAAUACAAUUUCAAGAAGAUCACAGUCGUUCCCAAUGGGAAAGACUUCAUCGACAUCAUCCUCUCACGCACCCAGCGCCAGACCCCAACCGUCGUCCACAAGGGCUACAAAAUCAACCGCCUCCGCCAGUUCUACAUGCGCAAAGUCAAGUACACUCAGACCAACUUCCACGAGAAGCUCUCCACCAUCAUCGAAGAGUUCCCUCGCCUCGACCAGAUCCACCCUUUCUACGGAGACCUCCUCCACGUCCUCUACAACAAGGAUCACUACAAGCUCGCUCUUGGCCAAGUCAACACCGCUAGAAACUUGAUCAGCAAGAUUGCUAAAGACUACGUGAAGCUCCUCAAGUACGGUGACUCCUUGUACCGUUGCAAGUGUCUGAAAGUCGCUGCUCUUGGUCGUAUGUGCACUGUGUUGAAGAGGAUCACUCCUAGUUUGGCGUACUUGGAGCAGAUCAGGCAGCACAUGGCGAGGCUUCCUUCGAUUGACCCCAACACUAGGACGGUCUUGAUCUGUGGGUAUCCUAAUGUGGGGAAGAGUUCUUUUAUGAACAAAGUGACUAGAGCUGAUGUUGAUGUGCAGCCUUACGCCUUCACCACUAAGUCGUUGUUUGUUGGUCAUACUGAUUAUAAGUACUUGAGGUAUCAGGUGAUUGACACUCCCGGGAUCUUGGACAGGCCAUUUGAGGAUCGGAACAUUAUUGAGAUGUGUAGUAUCACUGCCUUGGCGCAUCUUAGAGCUGCUGUGUUGUUCUUUCUUGACAUCUCAGGGUCGUGCGGUUACACUAUUGCUCAGCAGGCGGCGCUUUUCCAUAGUAUAAAGUCUCUGUUCAUGAACAAGCCGUUGGUGAUUGUCUGCAACAAGACUGAUCUGAUGCCAAUGGAGAAUAUUUCCGAACAUGAUAAGAAGCUUAUUGACGAGAUGAAAGCUGAAGCGAUGAAGACUGCUAUGGGAGCGAGCGAGGAAGCUGUGCUGUUGAAGAUGAGCACUCUUACUGAAGAGGGAGUGAUGUCUGUGAAGAAUGCUGCGUGUGAGAGGCUGUUGGAUCAGAGGGUUGAGGCCAAGAUGAAGUCCAAGAAGAUCAACGACCACUUGAACAGGUUCCACGUGGCGAUCCCCAAGCCUCGCGAUAACGUGGAGAGACCACAUAGCAUACCUCAGGUGGUUCUGGAGGCUAAGGCUAAAGAAGCUGCUGAGAAGGAGAAGCGGAAGACUGAGAAGGAUCUUGAAGAGGAGAACGGAGGAGCUGGAGUGUACUCCGCUAGCUUGAGGAAGCAUUACAUCUUGGAGCACGAUGAGUGGAAGGAGGACAUAAUCCCUGAGAUCCUCGACGGUCACAACGUCGCUGACUUCCUUGAUCCGGACAUUCUGCUGAGGCUCGAGGAGCUGGAGCGGGAGGAAGCCAUCAGACAAGCUAACGGCGAGGAGGAAGAUUUUGAAAUGGAUGGCGAGGAGCUUACCGAGGAGCAGAAGGAGCAGCUUGCUAAGAUUAGGAACAAGAAAGCUGUGCUUAUCCGAGAGCAUAGGCUCAAGAAGACGGUUGCACAGAACAGAUCAACAGUCCCAAGGAAGUUUGAUAAAGACAACAAGUACACGACCAAGAGAAUGGGGAGAGAGCUGUCUUCUCUGGGGCUUGAUCCGUCUGCUGCGGUGGACCGCGCGAGGAGCAAGUCGAGAGGGAGGAAGAGGGACCGGUCGGAAGAUGCGAUGGAUGUGGAUGAUGAGCAAGAGGGGAACAAGAAGAUGCGCGUGAGGUCGAAGUCGAGGUCUAUGUCGAUAUCGAGGUCACAGUCUAGGCCGCCUGCUCAUGAGGUUGUGCCUGGCGAUGGGUUUAAAGACUCUACUCAGAAGAAGGCGGCGCUCAAGAUUAGCAACAGCUCUCACAAGAAGAGAGACAAGAAUGCGAGACGCGGUGAGGCUGAUAGAGUUAUACCGACUCUGAGGCCGAAACAUUUGUUCUCGGGGAAGAGAGGGAAAGGAAAAACAGACAGGCGUUGAUGAAACCAGACAAGGUACUCUAACAAACUCCAUUGUUUCUGUUAGUUUGGUGAUAUCUUAUCUCGAUAUUAAUGUGUUAUUUGGUUGUGUUAUUACAGGGAAAACAGAUGAUGGAUGGAUUGAAGAACAUGUCUCGAGUUUUGGAUUAUGCUUUACUUUUUGUUUACUACUAUUAUUAUGUUAUGCGUCUUUUGUGGUUUAUCGACAGACAUUAUAUGGAACAUUGUAGCUUCUUCUGCGAGCAUUGUGUUUCAAUGACUAAGAAUCGUUUUAAUAGAUUUAUUUUAAUUGAUCUUUUCAUUGCAAUGGUUAGUUAUAAGUUGGUGUUUAACAGUGCAAGUGAUCUAGUUCUUCUUUUUUGAGUCUAAAUCACAUCAAUGAGCUAUGUGCCAGAGCCUCAAAUCUUGAAAUUAUGUUUCUUUGGUGAAGAAAACUUGUGUGUUUUACUCGAGAUCCUUAACUUUUCUUUGUGUACAACUUUCACCUGAACCCUGUAAAUGCCUUGAUACUAAUUUACAAACUCAACACACCUUACGUUUUGAGUUUUUUCUCUAAACGUUCGUUAGAGCUCUUUUAGGAUCGUCGCUUGGGUUGCAAGGCAACAGUUGUUCAACAAUCUCAGUGAAAUGGUAAAGGUAAUUUUUUACCGUUGUGAUCAAUCUUUCUUCUUUUCUUAUUUGACUAAAGGAAAUACAGUUGUCACUCACAACUGACAUGCAUGCAUGAUAGAUUAUUACCGAGUCCCGAAAACAUACGACCGUUACACGGUAAGAAAGUUUAUUACUUUUGUGAUCAAUUUCCAUUUUCCUUUUGCAGCAUUAAUUAGAAAAGAAAAUUAUACUACGGACGUAUUGUUAUAAAUCAAGUGAUGAAUGUCUAUAACCAGCCCGAUACAUAAACCGACCGAAACCCUAGAGAGAGACGGUCCAAACCCUAGAGAGAGACGGCGGCCGCGACCUGGAGAGAGAGAAAGUCGGCCAUGACUUUUCAUUAUUCUAGUUUUCCUAUUCUUUUUUGGUUUAUGAUUUAGUAAUUAUCAUAAAUCAUGUUGGAUUAGGAUUUGUACUAUUUCCUUUUAUUUUUAUCUUGUAAUCCUUAUAUAAAGGAACAUAUGAUUCAUUAAUAAUAAGAACAAAAACAUUCAGUUCUCAGACCCUCUAUUUUCAACACGUUAUCAGCACGAUAGACUCCCAAAAACCUUGAGAAAGAAAAAUCGCUAAACCCUAACCUAAACCGACGAUCGUACCUAAACCCUAACCCGAUCGCAUACCGUCCGUUCCAGGAAGCUUUACCGUCCGUUCCAGGAAGCUUUACCGUCUCAGCCUGAUACGAUCUUAGCUCAGACGAUCUCUUACGUCCUCAGCUUGCAUCCCGGAUGACCUCAGCUUCACGUUCGGCAUCACAUCCAGCUCGCGUUCCAAAACAGACGCCCGCAAACCCGAUAGAAAGAAGACGCGCCCCGCUCCAACUCAGAUCGCGUCCAACGCCCUCAGCACACAUCCGCGACCAGACGCAAAACCGUUCCAGACAGCUCACGUCCGUCCUCAAACUCGCGACCUGAUAGGAGCCAGCGUCCGUACGGGUGAAGAUAGAGGUUCAUCCGACUUUGGUGGUCCGGUUCUCACCCCUACAAACAAAGGUAUAUCAUCAAUCUGAGAACAUAGAAGAACAAACCCUAAAAUCCUAAUCCAUUAUUAUGGAAACCCCUUGUUCUUGAUGAAACCCUAAAAUUCAUAUAACUUAAAAUCGACAAUCUCAUGACUAGUAACAAAAAUCGAUUCACUAGAACAUAUUUGAUUGUGUGUUGAUUGUUUCUGAUUUGAAUUUAAGAAACCCUAAUAAUUGGAAUUGAAACCCUAUAAACCCUAAAAAGCUUGAAUUCGUUUUUGAUUGAUAUUGCUUGAUUGAAUGAAUGAUUUGUUUGCUGUUCUCGGUUCAGUUUCAUUACAAAACCAUAUUGACUUGUUUGUUGUUUUGGUUCAGUUUUAUUACAAGACCAUAAUGAUUUGUUUGCUGUUCUUUUUUUUUUUUUUUUUUUAAUUUGAUGUUUUUUUAAUUCAUAUGUGCAGAUCAAUUAGCAAAAAAAUGGUGCAAUACAAUUUCAAGAAGAUCACAGUCGUUCCCAAUGGGAAAGACUUCAUCGACAUCAUCCUCUCACGCACCCAGCGCCAGACCCCAACCGUCGUCCACAAGGGCUACAAAAUCAACCGCCUCCGCCAGUUCUACAUGCGCAAAGUCAAGUACACUCAGACCAACUUCCACGAGAAGCUCUCCACCAUCAUCGAAGAGUUCCCUCGCCUCGACCAGAUCCACCCUUUCUACGGAGACCUCCUCCACGUCCUCUACAACAAGGAUCACUACAAGCUCGCUCUUGGCCAAGUCAACACCGCUAGAAACUUGAUCAGCAAGAUUGCUAAAGACUACGUGAAGCUCCUCAAGUACGGUGACUCCUUGUACCGUUGCAAGUGUCUGAAAGU